rnacentral:rRNA from 1 species
GAUGAACGCUGGCGGCGUGCCUAAUACAUGCAAGUCGAGCGAAAAGACGAGGAGCUUGCUCCUCUGACGUUAGCGGAGGACGGGAGAGAAACACGUGGAUAACGUACCUAUAAGACUGGGAUAACUUGGAGAAACCGGAGCAAAUACCGGAUAACAUCCUGAACCGAGGGGUUCAACAGAGAAAGACGGUCGUGGUGUAACUACUAGAUGGUUCUGAGCCGCAUUGGCUAGUUGGUCAGCUAAAGGCUUACGAAGGCAACGAUGCGUAUCCCACCUGAGAGGCUGAUCGCCCACACUAGAGCUGAAACACGGUCCCUACUCCUACGAGAGGCAGCAGUAUAGAAUCUGCCGCAGUGGUCGAAAGCCUUACGCAGCAGCGGCGAGUGUGUUAAAACGAUCUUCGGAGCGUAAUACUCUGUUAUUAGUUAAGAACCAAUGUGUAAGUAACUAUAGACUUCUUGACGGUACCUAAUCAGAAAGCCACGGCUAACUACGUG